GGGUGUUGCUGUGAUCUCAAAAGGGUUAACCGAAAGUCAGCAGCGAUGCUGUAAUCCUCCAGGACUACCAGCAUGCUGCAGUGUUGUUGUGUCGGAUCAGGGGGUUUCAAAGGAAGGAAGCUGCGUUAGCUCCUGCAGCUGCCUCGGUCAUGUCUGUCAUUUUGGGUCUCUGCUCCUAACAACAUGGCUGACGAAGCAGGCAGAGAACUGAGGCGUGGAAAAGGUGAAUCCAAAGUCACAAAAAAAUGUCCAUGGCUAGGCUAUUGACCUAAUCUCUGGAUUAGUCUCCUCUGCCUGUCUCUCCCAAGAAUCACGGAAUGGUUGAAGUUGGAAGGCACCUCUGGAGAACAACUAGUCCAAACACCCUGCCAAGCAGGGUCACCUAGAGCAUGGAUGAAGGGCCUGAGGGAAACCUUCUAUUUUCUUGAUCAUUUUCUUCUACUUUUCUAGUUCUGCUAUAAUAUUUAUGAUAUAGAAAGACCAAAAGUACAUUCAGUCAGACUAUGAGUGCACCAUGGUUUAAUGUAGUGGCAUAAAAGUGUUUUCUGUUGUAUUCUUUACUCACUUUCUGGUAGAUCUUAACUUUCUCUUUAUUCUUCUGGCUAAUGCUAAGGAUUUGUGUAACAUUUUCUGAGAAAUUUCCACAGAGGAAGGAAGAAGAACAUUUCCUAUGGUCCGUAUCAUCUAAAGACAAAACAAACUCAUUUGAACAAGAAAACAUCAAUAUGCUUUCGUGGCUUUAAACGUUUUAUUGUUGGCUGAAGCAAGCUCACCCUCCUCCUUCCAAGAAGGAUUUGGAGGGGUAUGAUGGAGUGGGAGAUAUCACAGAUCAAGAAAGCCACGCAAAGUGAAUGCAGAUGGAGUGAAUGUCAUUGUAGCCCAAGAAUUUCACUUGAAGGUCAGGAAUGUAGAGAAAAUGUAGAUUGAGUGUGGUAAAGAAGAGCUGUGGGUUGUUAGGCUCUCUUGGAGGUAACAAACUUGCUUAGGUCACUGCAUUUUACAUGGUGAGAUUGGGCAGAGGUUGAAUAGAUUACAGGGCUGUGGUAUUGGGAAAGCAAAGGUAGUUGUAUCGAUUGUUUAUCUGACAGUGAUUGUGAAAAAGAGUUGCGGAAUUCUCCCGUGUCAAACAAAAAGCUUGGAUACUUUACAGCUGCCUUAAAGCUGAAGCUAUUAACCACACUAUUAAAGUAUGAUUUAAAUACCAGAUAGGGUUCUGGUGAUUUGGCUUUGUCAGCACUGAUGCGAUCUGUGAGCUAAACUGGUGUCCCUCUCCAACUGCAGUUUAAAAGCAGGGCUUUCUUCCAUCCCCUUCCCUGGCUAAUGGCAACACGAGACGCAUUCGUUCAGAUUCAUGGCUGCAUAGAUGAUAAACCUUGCUAUCAUAGGGUGAUCAUGAAGAAGGACAUCCUUGGCUGGUGUGCAGGUCAUGUCAUUAUCUCUCUUCUAGCCUCCUUAAAAGUUCUUGGAGGUAGGUAGCAAAGUGCUGCAGCGUGCCCACAACACCCUGAAUGCAGCCCCAAGGCAGCAGCCAUGUAGGGCAGGCCAUGCUUUCCUUUGCCUUAGGAUGAAGCGGCUCAUCAGCCAGCCAAGGGCAAUGGCAGCAGAAAGGCAACAUAAAGCCGUCCUUGUUUUCCUGUUCUGCCCUGCUGAGUCCUGCUUUGGGGGAGGGAGGAUCUGUGCCAGAGGAGGACCAAAGGUUUCCUCCUGCAGAUUUGUCAAUGCCCUUUUUAUUAAUUUCCAAGGAACACAGAGACAAGCAUUUCCUGCACUCAGCAGCAUCCCCUGGCUGCCUUACGAAUGAGUCACAUAAUGCAGCUGCCUGAGCUUUCUUGCAAGGUGUGGCAGCAUUUGCCAUCAGGACAUCCAGGCUCUCUCUGUAGCUCUCCUGCAAUUUACGCGUCAAACCCGCAGUAAAUCUACAGUUCUUUUCACCAUUAAUAGCUGUCUUGGGGGGGAAA